AUGCAGAAUCUUGGGCCUCACUCCAGAAGCCCUGAAUCAGAAUCUGCAUCUUUAACAAGACUCCAGGUGUCAUCCAGACUCAGCAAACUCCAGGAGGAACUGAUGCUCCUUUACCUUCAACUGUGGAGCCCGGACAAGAACAGCCUCCCUCUCUGUGGAAUCCUUGUGGAGCUCCCAGUCCAGCUCAGCCCAGCCCAGGUGUGCACUGCUCCCAGCUGUGUGGUCUCCCUUGCUGAACCUGCUGCUUGCAAGUGUGAACAGGAGCAGGGCAGAGAAGACACUUGGUUCUCCGUGCAGAAAAGGCUUGGAAAUGAUCCACAGGGGACCUGCAUUUCACUUGGCACCAUGGUUUCCAGAGUGAGUAAGCUGGGUGAUUCCACAAGCCAUAUAUUGAUACAAAAAUGUGGAAACCUGAGCAUGAUACCAUAUCAUUUUUCAGCUGCUCUAGUUGUGACUCAGUGACAUCCUGCUCUAGGUUGA
rnacentral:lncRNA from 1 species